CCAAACACAAGGUCAAUAUUUGUUUUUUAUUUUCUUUAUUUGACAAGAUAACUUGGCCAAAUCUUAAUUUCUCUGAUUAUGGUGGAUAAUUAAAUUAGCUGUGUGUUUAUUUGAAUAAAGUAAAGAAAAUUUAUUGUUGGAACCAAUAAAGCAGAAUUAAGAGUUCAGAAUUCAAUUGAAGUUGAAGAUGUUAAGAACAUAUAUGUGGAAUGUAAGGCAAUUAAGGUCUGUGAACAAUGAGUGAUACUAGGAGAUUGGCUAUUCGUCACACCACUCUUUUGCUUCCAUUGUAGUAAGUUUAUGUUUGAGUUUAUUCGUAAUUUUCAAAAGUUGCUGAAUCUGGCUCAAGAAGUAAUACCCUAAUGUGUGUUUUGAACAAUCAGAGAACCGGUUUUUGUGGUGUUGGUGAAGGAUAUGAGGCGGAACUCGAUGUAAUUGCCCUUCUGGUAGAGUUGUUGAAGGGGAAGGUGAUGAAACUCUGGAUAUGCUUAAAGAAUGUGUAGUCACACCUUUUUCAAAGUGGGAUAAAGAGUUCUUGAGAAUCGUGUUUGAUCUGCGCUUCAAGGUUUGUUCAAUUCAAGAUUUAAAAUGUUCUAUAUUGGGGAUCCAGUGUUCUGCAAAGGCCAAAGGGUCUUCCUUAAGCAGGAACCUACUUAUGUCGAGCGUCGAUGGUUAUUAGAACAUUAUGUUUGUACACCAGCUGAGGCGGAACGCAAAGAAAAGAGAG